GACGAACGCUGGCGGCGUGCUUAACACAUGCAAGUCGAACGGAAAGGCCCUGCUUUUGUGGGGUGCUCGAGUGGCGAACGGGUGAGUAACACGUGAGUAACCUGCCCUUGACUUUGGGAUAACUUCAGGAAACUGGGGCUAAUACCGGAUAGGAGCUCCUGCUGCAUGGUGGGGGUUGGAAAGUUUCGGCGGUUGGGGAUGGACUCGCGGCUUAUCAGCUUGUUGGCGGGGUAGUGGCUUACCAAGGCUUUGACGGGUAGCCGGCCUGAGAGGGUGACCGGCCACAUUGGGACUGGGAUACGGCCCAGACUCCUACGGGAGGCAGCAGUGGGGAAUAUUGCACAAUGGGCGGAAGCCGGAUGCAGCAACGCCGCGUGCGGGAUGACGGCCUUCGGGUUGUAAACCGCUUUCGCCUGUGGCGAAGCGUGAGUGACGGUAAUGGGUAAAGAAGCACCGGCUAACUACGU
rnacentral:rRNA from 1 species